UAUGUAGGGUGCAAGCGUUAUCCGGAAUUAUUGGGCGUAAAGAGCUCGUAGGCGGUUUGUCGCGUCUGCUGUGAAAACUGGGGGCUCAACCCCCAGCCUGCAGUGGGUACGGGCAGACUAGAGUGCGGUAGGGGAGAUUGGAAUUCCUGGUGUAGCGGUGGAAUGCGCAGAUAUCAGGAGGAACACCGAUGGCGAAGGCAGAUCUCUGGGCCGUAACCGACGCUGAGGAGCGAAAGCAUGGGGAGCGAACAGG
rnacentral:rRNA from 1 species